rnacentral:rRNA from 1 species
AGAGUUUGAUCCUGGCUCAGAACGAACGCUGGCGGCAUGCCUAACACAUGCAAGUCGCGCGAGAAAGUUCCUUCGGGAGCGAGUAAAGCGGCGCACGGGUGAGUAACAUGUGGGUAAUCUUCCCUUAAGUCCGGAAUAACUCUUCGAAAGAAGAGCUAAUACCAGAGAGACCACGAGAACUUCGGUUUUUGAGGUUAAAGAUGGGGACCCUUCGGGGCCUAUCGCUUUUGGAUGAGCCCGCACACUAUUAGCUAGUUGGUGAGGUAACGGCUUACCAAGGCUCUGAUGGUUAGCUGGUCUGAGAGGAUGGCCAGCCACACUGGAACUGAGACACGGUCCAGACUCCUACGGGAGGCAGCAGUGGGGAAUUUUGGACAAUGGGGGCAACCCUGAUCCAGCAAUGCCGCGUGAGUGAAGAAGGCCUUCGGGUUGUAAAUCUCUGUCAGUAGGGAAAAAAGUAUUCUUCGAUAAUAACUUAGAAUCCUGAUGGUACCUGCAGAGGAAGAGGCGGCUAACUCUGUGCCAGCAGCCGCGGUAAUACAGAGGCCUCAAGCGUUGUUCGGAAUUAUUGGGCGUAAAGGGAGUGUAGGUGGUUAUUUAAGUCAGAUGUGAAAGUCCUGGGCUUAACCCAGGAAGUGCAUUUGAUACUGAAUAGCUGGAGUGCGAGAGAGGAAGGUGGAAUUCCCAGUGUAGGAGUGAAAUCCGUAGAUAUUGGGAGGAAUACCGAUGGCGAAGGCAGCUUUCUGGCUCGCAACUGACACUGAGACUCGAAAGCGUGGGUAGCAAACAGGAUUAGAUACCCUGGUAGUCCACGCUGUAAACGAUGGAUGCUUGUUGUUGGGAGUGUUAACCCUUUCAGUAACGAAGCAAACGCGUUAAGCAUCCCGCCUGGGGAUUACGAUCGCAAGAUUAAAACUCAAAGAAAUUGACGGGGACCCGCACAAGCAGUGGAGCAUGUGGUUUAAUUCGACGCAACGCGAAGAACCUCAUCCUGGUCUUGACAUCCACUAGACCGCUCGGUGAAAGCCGGCUUUUCCUUCGGGAACUGGUGGACAGGUGCUGCAUGGCUGUCGUCAGCUCGUGUCGUGAGAUGUUGGGUUAAGUCCCGUAACGAGCGCAACCCACGCCUCUUGUUGCCAAUAUUAAGUUAGGCACUCUAGAGGGACUGCCAGUGUUAAACUGGAGGAGGGUGUGGAUGACGUCAAGUCCUCAUGGCCCUUAUGACCAGGGCUACACACGUGCUACAAUGGCGGAUACAAAGGGUCGCGAAACUGUGAAGUGAAGCCAAUCCCAAAAAGUCCGCCUCAGUUCGGAUUGAAGUCUGCAACUCGACUUCAUGAAGCUGGAAUUGCUAGUAAUCGCAGAUCAGAAUGCUGCGGUGAAUACGUUCUCGGGUCUUGUACACACCGCCCGUCACACCACGAAAGUGGUUUGCACCAGAAGUCGCCGUGCCGACCUCGUGAGGCAGGUGCCCAAGGUGUGAGCUAUGAUUGGGGUGAAGUCGUAACAAGGUA